CACCAAAGAUGUUUGAUGAAA
rnacentral:misc_RNA from 1 species